CACUUCACCUGUAUCAGUCUCUCCCCUGGCUCCUGUCCACCUGGGUGCUAUGAACCAUAAAUCCCAGUAUAUAAUGGAGCAGCUCAAUCCUCUGCUGGAGGCUCACCUAGGCCAAAAUCAAGGUGUGAGCAAUGCUGUGUGGAAGCUCUGGGGAACACCCCAGUUCAAGCUCCUUCAAGUUGUUGGCUGGAUUCAGCUAUGGGCAGUGCUGUGGCUGAGCUCCUCCUUUGCUGGCUGGUGGCCAGGCCAGGAAUCUCCCUUGAUACAGAAGGCUUCCUGUAUCCCUCAUCCUGUCAUCCCUUUUGUCUCCAAACCAGCAACAGUAGGGGUCCAGUCAGUCCUUCUCAUACUUCAAAUGUCUCUUCCACGUCUCUACUACCUUCUCCUAUCUUUUGAGUCCAGGAUACUUGUCUAUACCACUGGUCAACAGCAGCAGUCUUGGCCUCUUUGCUGAUGACUGCCAUCAGAGCUUCUUGUGACUUCAUAGUUGAAUUUCAGUCAUUUGAUGAGUGGGUGACUGCAUAAAAAGCAUUACAGCCUCUGGAGAAAACACCACCAUAACUAUGGAGAAAAGCAUUAACAUGAGAUUACUAGUAAGCCUUGGACAAUGCCUCUUAACGAAGAUCCAGUCUGAUCCAGUCUGAUCAGAGAAAUCUCAUCUCUAGCCAGAUGAGGAACUAGCACUCAGAGAUGUCAAGCGGCAUAAUCACUGCUCCUCAGUGGCCACAAAUCAGAACUGGGAUUCAAAACUGGAUGUACCUGGCUCCAAGCCAUGACCUUUCUUACCAGCUCCUCGGAUACCCAAGACAGGCCCAGGGCCCCUACCAUGUGGGGACAAGAACUCUCCCUCUCAGAUCAGAACCGCCUCCAUCAUCAACCUGACCCUGGAAACCCAGCUUCAAACACAGAUCCUCUCAUUGCUCCCUCCUGGGAUUGGUGUUCAACCACAAGUUUUAAGACAGAAUUACUCAUUUAGGAGAAAAAGUACAAUUCAAAUUUAUAUAGAGAAGUUACUUAAAGUUACUCCUAACUUGGAUAGUAUCACGAAACAGGAAAUUUUCCCUUGUGAUAAAGAGGGGUCUGGAAUCCUUAGACCAAGUGAUGGUUUCACUGACUCUAUGGAACAUGCAUUCACUUAUUCACUGACACACUCGUCCAGUUGACAAGCACUUACUGAGUCCCUGCUGUGUGUAAGGUAUUAUGCUGAGCGUUGAGGAUACAACAGUAACCAAAUAAUCAAAUAACAGCAACCAAAUAACUGGCUUUUUUGGAAGUGGCAUUCUACUUGUGCAGAUACCUUAGAGCCUAAAAUAUGGAUGGGAAUUUCUUGGAGGGUUUUCAGUAGGGAAGUGACAUGAUGUGCCCAUAAAAGGGUGACGUAUGACCACCAAGAUGAGACUGUCAGUAGGACAUGGAAAAGCAUGAGAAUAGAAGCAGAGAGACCUGUUAGAAGGUAGCUUCAUUAGAUGAUGGUGUCUUAAGCAAGGCUGGUGGCUGUGGCUAUAGUGAGAAGGCAUUGAUUUCAGGAUGUACCAUGAGGGAGAGUCAGAGUCACCAGGGUCUGCUUUUGGACUGAAUGUGAAACGAGAAAACAAGAAAAUCAAGAGAUAGAGGAUUACAGACAGAUGUAACACAAGAAUUCAGUUUGGCACAUGCUUCAGAUACCCACCAAAUCUGAAGACAGCCAGGAUGCUGACCAGAAAGAACUCAGGAGAAGUUCUCUUUUUUUGCUACCAGUAAUGUGAGGAGGCUGGUCAAGAGGACUGUUUUUGAGGAAGUCUAACAGGAAAUUUAACAACGUGUAAAGUGACAAAUACGUAAGGUCAAAAUGUAGCUGUGUAUCUACAGUGAGAUAUCUCCUCACACCUGUCAGAAUGGCCAAGAUUAACAAAAGGAAACAACAGAUGUUGGUAAGGAUGUGGAGAAAGAGGAACCCUCCUACACUUGGGAAUGCAAACUAGUACAGCCACUCUGGACAGCAGUAUGGAAGUUCCUCAAAAAAGUUAAAAAUAGAGUUACCCUAUGGCCCAGCAACUGCACCACAAAGUAUUUACCCAAAGGGUAUAAGUAUACCGAUUUGAAGGAAUCCAUGUACCUCAAUGUUGAUAGCAGCAUUAUCAACAAUAGCCAAACUGUGGAGAAAGCCUAAAUGUCCAUCAACUGAUGAAUGGAUAGAGAAGAUAUGGAGUGUACACAUACACAUACACACUCACACACACUGGAAUAUUACUCAGCCAUCAAAAAGAAUGAAAUCUUGCCAUUUGCCAUGACAUGGAUGGAGCUAGAGGGUAUUAUGCUAAGUGAAAUAACUCAGUCAGAGAAUGACAAAUACCAUGCGAUCUCACUCUUAUGUAGAAUUUAACAAAGAAAACAGAUGAACAUAUGGGGAGGGUGAAAUGAAAAAAGAGAGAGAGAAACAAACCAUAAAAGACUCUUAAUGAUAGAGAACAAACUGAAGGUUGAUGGAGGGAGGUGGGUGGGUGAUGGGCUAGAAGGAGGAUGGGGAUGAAAGAGGGCACUUGUGAUGAGCACUAGGUAUUGUGUGUAAGUGAUGAAUCACUAAAUUCUACCCUUGAAACUACUAUUAUUACAUUCUAUGUUAACUAACUGGAAUUCAAAUAAAAAUUUGAAGAAAGGAAAAAAUAUAGCUAUGUAUCAAUUAUAAAGCUAUUUCUCAAAAUUCUGAACUUGGAGUUUAACUGUAAUAAUUGUUAACAAUUUAGAACUCUGACUUCUCAGAAUAGACUAACACAUCAACUAUGAAGCAAGAUGCAUAUGAUUUGGAUCCAUAACAGAAUUCUCUUGAUAAUAUUAAUUCAUUUCAGACCCAAUACUGGAUCUUCUUCAAUUUAAAAUAUUCUUGGGGGGACGCCUGGAUGGCUCAGUGGUUGAGCUUCUGCCUUCGGCUCCGGUCCUGA